ensembl:lncRNA
GUAGGAUUUGUUUCAUUUAAAAGUCAUGACAGUUUUAAACGUUUUGCCUUUGCUGAUGUGUACAUAUCGAAUAUCAACAUACACAUUUAAUAUUGUAGGGAACCAGCCCCAGCCUCAGCCUCAGCCUCAGCCUCAGGCCUUUGCCCUGGCCGAGCCCCUGGCCCAGCCCCAGGCCCUGGCCCUGGCCGAGCCUGAGCCUCAAUAUCAUAUAUUGGACCUAUACCCUGUCUUGCCCCAGCCCGAGCCCCAGCCCCAGGCCCUGGCCCAGCCCCAGCCUCAGCCCGAGCCCCAGCCCCAGGCCCUGGCCCAGCACCAGCCUCAGGCCCUGGCCCAGCCCCAGCCUCAGGCCCUGGCCCAGCACCAGUCUCAGGCCCUGGCCCAGCACCAGCCUCAGGCCCUGGCCCAGCACCAGCCCCAGGCCCUGGCCCAGCCCCAGCUACAGGCCCUGACCCAGUCCAAGCACCAGCCUCAGGCCCUGGCCCAGCACCAGCCCCAGGCCCAGCCCCAGCCUCAGGCCCUGGCCCAGCACCAGCCCCAGCCUCAGGCCCUGGCCCAGCACCAGCCCCAGGCCCAGCCCCAGCCUCAGGCCCUGGCCAAACCCCCCCACCAAAAAAGAAAGUGUUGCCGGAAAUGUAGUAGGCAAAAAAUAUUUCAUUAUGACGCCGUCACAGAAAGGAGGAUGAAUGAGUGGAAAAACCUGGGAGGAGACAUGGGAGCUGGCCUGCCAGUUCCCAUCCUAAGAUGCCG